rnacentral:tRNA from 1 species
NGCCCCCAUAGCUCAGGGGAUAGAGCAUUGGUCUCCGGAACCAUGUGCGGAGGUUCGAGUCCUCCUGGGGGCAU